rnacentral:rRNA from 1 species
CCUACGGGCAGCAGCAGUGAGGAAUAUUGGUCAAUGGGCGCGAGACUGAACCAGCCAAGUAGCGUGAAGGAUGACUGCACUACGGGUUGUAAACUUCUUUUAUAAAGGAAUAAAGUGAGGCACGUGUGCCUUUUUGUAUGUACUUUAUGAAUAAGGAUCGGCUAACUCCGUGCCAGCAGCCGCGGUAAUACGGAGGAUGCGAGCGUUAUCCGGAUUUAUUGGGUUUAAAGGGAGCGUAGAUGGGUUGUUAAGUCAGUUGUGAAAGUUUGGGGCUCAACCGUAAAAUUGCAAUUGAUACUGGCAGUCUUGAGUACAGUUGAGGUAGGCGGAAUUCGUGGUGUAGCGGUGAAAUGCAUAGAUAUCACGAAGAACUCCGAUUGCGAAGGCAGCUUACUAAACUGCCACUGACACUGAUGCACGAAAGUGUGGGUAUCAAACAGGAUUAGAUACCCCUGUAGUC